rnacentral:rRNA from 1 species
ACAGGUAGAUUGCCCUUGUUAACGGCGAGUGAAGCGGCAACAGCUCAAAUUUGAAAGCUAGCCUUCGGGUUCGCAUUGUAAUUUGUAGAGGAUGCUUUGGGUAAAACGCCAGUCUAAGUUCCUUGGAACAGGACGUCAUAGAGGGUGAGAAUCCCGUAUGUGACUGGAAAUGUUAACCUAUGUAAAGCUCCUUCGACGAGUCGAGUUGUUUGGGAAUGCAGCUCUAAAUGGGAGGUAAAUUUCUUCUAAAGCUAAAUAUUGGCGAGAGACCGAUAGCGCACAAGUAGAGUGAUCGAAAGAUGAAAAGCACUUUGGAAAGAGAGUUAAAAAGCACGUGAAAUUGUUGAAAGGGAAGCGCUUGCAAUCAGACUUGUUUAAACUGUUCGGCCGGUCUUCUGACCGGUUUACUCAGUUUGGACAGGCCAGCAUCAGUUUCGGCGGCCGGAUAAAGGCAUUGGGAAUGUGGCCUUCACUUCGGUGGAGGUGUUAU